rnacentral:rRNA from 1 species
UGGGGAAUAUUGCACAAUGGGCGCAAGCCUGAUGCAGCAACGCCGCGUGAGGGACGACGGCCUUCGGGUUGUAAACCUCUUUUAGCAGGGAAGAAGCGAAAGUGACGGUACCUGCAGAAAAAGCACCGGCUAACUACGUGCCAGCAGCCGCGGUAAUACGUAGGGUGCAAGCGUUAUCCGGAAUUAUUGGGCGUAAAGAGCUCGUAGGCGGUUUGUCGCGUCUGCUGUGAAAUCUGGGGGCUCAACCCCCAGCCUGCAGUGGGUACGGGCAGACUAGAGUGCGGUAGGGGAGAUUGGAAUUCCUGGUGUAGCGGUGGAAUGCGCAGAUAUCAGGAGGAACACCGAUGGCGAAGGCAGAUCUCUGGGCCGUAACUGACGCUGAGGAGCGAAAGGGUGGGGAGCAAACA